rnacentral:lncRNA from 1 species
UUGGUGGAUGCGUGCCGACCGUCCGUUGGCCUAUAUAAGCAGCGGUGCUCUCGCGAGGCAGCUCUUCCCCCCUCCCCCUCCCCUUUGACCCUCUCUCCGUUCAUGUUCGUCCUGCCUCCGCAGCCCUCUUCUCCCCCAAGCCGAAGCAAUUUCUGCUUCAUGUGCUCCAAAGCACAACCAGCAAGAUUCUUUCUCUCGCGAGCAACGGAUGAAUCAGCCUCUCUGUUAUCCAGAGAGAUGGCCGAUUUCUCCUUUGCUCGAGCAGAGAAAGAGCAUCGUUGGAUGCCAGAGAAAAUGAAGAAGAACCUGGGAUGAGUAGCAUCAUCCAAGAGGAGGAACCAAUUGGUUGAGCAACACAAGACCUGCAGGUUUUCUCAAUGAAGAGGAACAUCUGUAAGUUUUCAUCUGAAAUCAGGAUUUGGGUUUGCAAGAUUCUUUCUGUUGCUGCUAUUGUUUUCUUUGGCCUGCUACUGAUUUUUUACCUCUUUCUCUUCUCCAGUGUCUUGCGCAACAUCAUCCCGAGCCCCGUUCACCCAGUUCAUUCGCCUAUCCAGAUCCACCCCGCAAACACCAUCCCCAAUCCCCCAAUUUAAUCGGCGCCUAUAUAUCCCUCGCCCCCUUCUGCGCCCGAUCCCCAUAACCGCCUCCCCCUCCGCGGCCGAUCCCCACGCCCGCCGCCGCCGCACCCUCCGCGCCCCGAUCCCCACGCCCGCCGCCGCCNNNNN